rnacentral:rRNA from 1 species
CUACGUGCCAGCAGCCGCGGUAAUACGUAGGGUGCGAGCGUUAAUCGGAAUUACUGGGCGUAAAGCGAGCGCAGACGGUUACUUAAGCAGGAUGUGAAAUCCCCGGGCUCAACCUGGGAACUGCGUUCUGAACUGGGUAGCUAGAGUAUGUCAGAGGGAGGUAGAAUUCCACGUGUAGCAGUGAAAUGCGUAGAGAUGUGGAGGAAUACCGAUGGCGAAGGCAGCCUCCUGGGAUAACACUGACGUUCAUGCUCGAAAGCGUGGGUAGCAAACAGGAUUAGAUACCCUGGUAGUCCACGCCCUAAACGAUGUCAAUUAGCUGUUGGGCAACUUGAUUGCUUAGUAGCGUAGCUAACGCGUGAAAUUGACCGCCUGGGGAGUACGGUCGCAAGAUUAAAACUCAAAGGAAUUGACGGGGACCCGCACAAGCGGUGGAUGAUGUGGAUUAAUUCGAUGCAACGCGAAGAACCUUACCUGGUCUUGACAU